UACAGAGGUCUCAAGCGUUGUUCGGAUUCAUUGGGCGUAAAGGGUGCGUAGGCGGCGCGGUAAGUCGGGUGUGAAAUCUUGGAGCUUAACUCCGAAACUGCAUUCGAUACUGCCGUGCUUGAGGACUGGAGAGGAGACUGGAAUUUACGGUGUAGCGGUGAAAUGCGUAGAGAUCAUGAGGAAGACCAGUGGCGAAGGCGGGGUCUCUGGACAGUUCCUGACACUGAGACACGAAGGCCAGGGGAGCAAACGGG
rnacentral:rRNA from 1 species